rnacentral:rRNA from 1 species
UACGAAGGGUGCAAACGUUGCUCGGAAUCAUUGGGCGUAAAGCGCACGUAGGCGGCUUCGCAAGUCGGAUGUGAAAUCCCAUGGCUCAACCAUGGACGUGCAUUCGAAACUGCGAAGCUUGAGUAUGGAAGAGGGUCGCGGAAUUCCCAGUGUAGAGGUGAAAUUCGUAGAUAUUGGGAAGAACACCGGUGGCGAAGGCGGCUCUCUGGACCGAGACUGACGCCGAGGCGCGAAAGCGUGGGGAGCAAACAGG